GUACACAUGAACUUAGGGAGUAUUAAAUGACAGAAACCCCUACAAAAUAAAAUUUUGAUUUCUUGAGAACUUAACUUUCAAAGAAAUUUCAACAUUUUAGCCUACUUGGAACAAAUGCUACUUUUAAGUUUGGAAAAGAACUGUGGUACUUUAUUGUUCGGAUAUGCUUUUAUAUGUUUAGCAACUCUAAUGAAAAAUGAAGUUUUGUUGUUUUACCAAAUAGGAAAGAAAAAUUAGACCAAUAGUGCCAAUUGCUAUUCUGACAUUUAUAAUACUUGUGGUCACUUCUGUUCUUAAAAUCUGCAGUACUUCUGACUGUCAUUAAAUUAACGAACCUCUUCCUUCCUUCAUCCAGCUUUAGUUUUAGAUAUAUUUCCAUGCUUCUAAAAGGUAAUUUAUUUUCCACUUGUAAACAACCUGCUUGUAAGCCCUACAUGUGUAGGAAGCUGGAUAAAGUGAAGAACAAGUUCAUCCCCCCAGAGGUAUAAAUUAAAAUAAGAUAAUGCAAAUUUGAAAAUAUUUAUUUCAUGGGGUGCAUUUGAUAGAAUCACAAUUAACCUGGCUUUUUAUUAUGUAUUACUUUUGAAUGUCAACAUAAAUAACAAACAGAGAAAGGCUCUCUAAAAACAUUCAGUUUAAUCAAAAAUAGCAGGGCAUUGCAAUGCAAAUAUGCAUGCCAUGGCAACCAUGGGUACAUUCAGGGAUGCAGAAAAAACAUGGGGUUUGUAAAGGUAAAAUGAAGAGGAUUACAUAAAUAGUUUAAAAAUAUUAAUCCUUGGCUACAAGGAUCAAUAAAUAAUAAGAGUGAGAUCAUCCCAUGGCUAAAUAGGCAGUUGCUGGACAGAUGUCCUCACAGAAAUACUUUUUUCUGUGUGCAAGAUUGCAGUGGUUCUGCCAAUAUCUCUUGUGAUAGUGUUUAUCAGGCAAAUAUGCAUGAGACCGCUCCCUUCCAAGCCUUCCUUGGCUCUAUUUUGUGAGGGUUUGACAAAAGUGACUCCAUUUUGGACCUGACAACUUUUGAUCCAAAGCCUUCUGAUAAGUAUCACUGAUUAAUCAUUAUGCGCUUAGGUUUUGAUUGUCCUUUGUCUCAUCCCACAUUGGAAGAAAGAGAUUGGUGACAAGUAGUCAGUGUGAAAACCAUUUUAGCUACAUUUCAGCAACAAAAGAGGGUUAGAAGGAGUAGCCUCGGGCUAAGACUGCCCAAAGUUUAUUAAUUUGGUCCAUUCUCAGGCUGUCAUCUCAAAGCACUAGGCCAACAUUAUUCUGUUAGGAGUUGUAUUUCUGCAGAAUUUUGAAAGGUAAAGGGUACAAAUUUUUAAAAGAAUAUACAGAGUAAAAUUGAUAGUAAUAUUGCAGCCCCAAUUGCCACAGAAGUUUUGAGACAUAAACCUAGGCUUAAAGUCAACCAACUGAAUAAAUUAUAUGACCAUGGAGAAGUAGGUAAGACCUGCUGUAAACAUAAAGUCUGUCUUUGCAUUUUGUGUAUUCGGGUCUUGAUUUCUCCAGAUAAAUGUAUAAAGGUACAGCAUGUAGUUUUACCCAUAGCACAGGUAACAUCUUGCUAAUAGAUAUUCAGGAGCAAUUCAGAUAUCUAGGACUAGCUUACCAUGAAAAGUUAAUGAAUGUUGUUGAGCACUUAUAGCUUUUGCAGUGGGGUCUGCAAGAAUUCCUAGGGAAACAGAUAUAUUUGAAUCAAUUCUACAUUAGUAACUACGCUUUACUUCAGCACAAAGGCCCAAACCAAAGUUUGGAAUCCCAUAUUUCACCAGCUGAUAACUCAGGUUGACACUUUGAUCUAGUAAGAGGGGGCUCUUCCAAUAAUUACUCCAGUGAUCAGUUUUAGACCUAUUAUGUAUAGACAACAAAGUAUUUAAAUAUCCUAGUUCACAUUGGCCUUCCAUUGUGCAUGUGUAGAGCAUUUGGAGGCUCAUAAUGAAGUAUCCUACACACAAAAGUAAAUAUACCCAAUAGAAACACAGACAAUUCUUUCAACUAAGAAUUUUUUGUAUAUAUACAAAAUAUAUACCAGGAAUCAGUUAUAUUGGUACAUAAUGUUAAUAUUCCUUGCUCUCAAAAUUAAGCCAUAUAUCUAUAUAUAUAUAUAUUCAUAUAUAUAAAUAUAUAUAUAUAUAUAUGUUUGUGUGUGUGUGUGUGUUAGGGGGAUCCAAGGAAUGGUUGAAAAUAAAUGACUCUUUGAAUAUGGAUAGGAUUAUACUAGUAGAACAUUCAUUAGAGUAGGUAAGGCAGGAGACAGAAGGUGAAAGUAGGGUUUCUCCUGGGUCAAUCUAAGGGUCCUUGGAAGAAUGAUGUGUCCAUGUGUGGCUCUGCUCACAGCACUGUUUGGAGCUUGAUUGCUUCUAGGUGAAAAGAGAUACAUUUUACAAGAAGGUAAAAUAUAGGGUUAGAAUAUGAGCGUUAAGAUUACCACUGUUAGUGAGGGUCCUAUAGACCAUAACUGACAGUAGAGUUUGAUAGCUGCUAGUUAUACCAAUGGAUUGCAAUACCAGUUUGCCUCCACUAGAUGUUGCUGUACAUUACCGGAAACAUUUAUAUAAAAGCAACAUUCCUUUUAGGAAAAGUGGCAUUGGAUUUUGGAGGCUAGAGUAACUUCAGUAUUAGCCUUGGCUAGAUUUUUU
rnacentral:lncRNA from 1 species